rnacentral:siRNA from 1 species
UCACAUGUUAGGUGUAGC